AGUAGCGGUGAAAUGCGUAGAUAUCUGGAGGAAUACCAAAGGCGAAGGCAGUCCCCUGGUCCGAUACUGACACUGAGGUACGAAAGCGUGGGGAGCAAACAGGAUUAGAUACCCUGGUAGUCCACGCCCUAAACGAUGUCGAUUAGCCAUUGGAAGGACCCCUUUUCCUUUCAGUGACGUAGCUAACGCGUUAAAUCGACCGCCUGGGAAGUACGACCGCAAGGUUAAAACUCAAAGGAAUUGACGGGGACCUGAACAAGCGGUGAAUGAUGUGGAUUAAUUCGAUGCUACGCGAAGAACCUUACCUACCUUUGACAUGGCCAAAGUUCUACCGAGAGGCGGAAGUGCUCGUAAGAGGAUUGGCGCACAGGUGCUGCAUGGUUGUCGUUAGUUCGUGUCGUGAGAUGUUGGGUUCAGUCCCGCAACGAACGCAACCCUUAUCUUUAAUUGCUCCUAUUUUAACAGGCACUUUAAAGAAACUGCCAAUGAUAAGUUGGAGGAAGGUGGGGAUCACGUCAAGUCCGCAUGGCCUUUAUAGGUAGGGCUUCACACGUCAUACAAUGGUUAGAACAAAGAGCUGCAAAUUCGUAAGAAGGAGCCAAUCUCACAAACCUAACCUCAGUUCGAAUUGCGGUCUGCAACUCGAGCGCAUGAAGCCGGAAUCGCUAGUAAUCGUGGAUCAGAAUGCCA
rnacentral:rRNA from 1 species